rnacentral:rRNA from 1 species
GGUCCCGCCUGCCCAGUGACAMAUKUUAACGGCCGGGGUAUUAUUACCGUGCAAAGGUAGCGUAAUCACUUGUCUUCUAAAUAAGGACCAGGAUGAACGGCUAAAUGAGGACAAGCCUGUCUCUUACAACCAAUCAGUGAAACUGAUCUUSCAGUACAAAAGCUGGAAUAACCACAUUAGACGAGAAGACCCUGUGGAGCUUUAAACUUACAAUUAACAAGCACAAAACUGCACCUAAUUCGCCGUUUUAAGUUGGGGCGACUUCGGAACAAAAUAAAACUUCCGAGCACAGAACCACAAAUUCUGACCGAGACCAACAAGCCAAAGUCGAACAAAACAACUAGACCCAGUUCAACUGAUUAACGAACCAAGUUACCCCAGGGAUAACAGCGCCAUCUUCUUCAAGAGUCCCUAUCGACAAGAAGGUUUACGACCUCGAUGUUGGAUCAGGACACCCAAAUGGUGCAGCCGCUAUUAAAGGUUCGUUUGUUCAACGAUU